rnacentral:rRNA from 1 species
GGGUUGUGAGGUUAAGCGACUAAGCGUACACGGUGGAUGCCCUGGCAGUCAGAGGCGAUGAAGGACGUGCUAAUCUGCGAUAAGCGUCGGUAAGGUGAUAUGAACCGUUAUAACCGGCGAUUUCCGAAUGGGGAAACCCAGUGUGUUUCGACACACUAUCAUUAACUGAAUCCAUAGGUUAAUGAGGCGAACCGGGGGAACUGAAACAUCUAAGUACCCCGAGGAAAAGAAAUCAACCGAGAUUCCCCCAGUAGCGGCGAGCGAACGGGGAGGAGCCCAGAGCCUGAAUCAGUGUGUGUGUUAGUGGAAGCGUCUGGAAAGGCGCGCGAUACAGGGUGACAGCCCCGUACACAAAAAUGCACAUGCUGUGAGCUCGAUGAGUAGGGCGGGACACGUGGUAUCCUGUCUGAAUAUGGGGGGACCAUCCUCCAAGGCUAAAUACUCCUGACUGACCGAUAGUGAACCAGUACCGUGAGGGAAAGGCGAAAAGAACCCCGGCGAGGGGAGUGAAAAAGAACCUGAAACCGUGUACGUACAAGCAGUGGGAGCACGCUUCGGCGUGUGACUGCGUACCUUUUGUAUAAUGGGUCAGCGACUUAUAUUCUGUAGCAAGGUUAACCGAAUAGGGGAGCCGAAGGGAAACCGAGUCUUAACUGGGCGUUAAGUUGCAGGGUAUAGACCCGAAACCCGGUGAUCUAGCCAUGGGCAGGUUGAAGGUUGGGUAACACUAACUGGAGGACCGAACCGACUAAUGUUGAAAAAUUAGCGGAUGACUUGUGGCUGGGGGUGAAAGGCCAAUCAAACCGGGAGAUAGCUGGUUCUCCCCGAAAGCUAUUUAGGUAGCGCCUCGUGAAUUCAUCUCCGGGGGUAGAGCACUGUUUCGGCAAGGGGGUCAUCCCGACUUACCAACCCGAUGCAAACUGCGAAUACCGGAGAAUGUUAUCACGGGAGACACACGGCGGGUGCUAACGUCCGUCGUGAAGAGGGAAACAACCCAGACCGCCAGCUAAGGUCCCAAAGUCAUGGUUAAGUGGGAAACGAUGUGGGAAGGCCCAGACAGCCAGGAUGUUGGCUUAGAAGCAGCCAUCAUUUAAAGAAAGCGUAAUAGCUCACUGGUCGAGUCGGCCUGCGCGGAAGAUGUAACGGGGCUAAACCAUGCACCGAAGCUGCGGCAGCGACACUAUGUGUUGUUGGGUAGGGGAGCGUUCUGUAAGCCUGUGAAGGUGUGCUGUGAGGCAUGCUGGAGGUAUCAGAAGUGCGAAUGCUGACAUAAGUAACGAUAAAGCGGGUGAAAAGCCCGCUCGCCGGAAGACCAAGGGUUCCUGUCCAACGUUAAUCGGGGCAGGGUGAGUCGACCCCUAAGGCGAGGCCGAAAGGCGUAGUCGAUGGGAAACAGGUUAAUAUUCCUGUACUUGGUGUUACUGCGAAGGGGGGACGGAGAAGGCUAUGUUGGCCGGGCGACGGUUGUCCCGGUUUAAGCGUGUAGGCUGGUUUUCCAGGCAAAUCCGGAAAAUCAAGGCUGAGGCGUGAUGACGAGGCACUACGGUGCUGAAGCAACAAAUGCCCUGCUUCCAGGAAAAGCCUCUAAGCAUCAGGUAACAUCAAAUCGUACCCCAAACCGACACAGGUGGUCAGGUAGAGAAUACCAAGGCGCUUGAGAGAACUCGGGUGAAGGAACUAGGCAAAAUGGUGCCGUAACUUCGGGAGAAGGCACGCUGAUAUGUAGGUGAAGUCCCUCGCGGAUGGAGCUGAAAUCAGUCGAAGAUACCAGCUGGCUGCAACUGUUUAUUAAAAACACAGCACUGUGCAAACACGAAAGUGGACGUAUACGGUGUGACGCCUGCCCGGUGCCGGAAGGUUAAUUGAUGGGGUCAGCGCAAGCGAAGCUCUUGAUCGAAGCCCCGGUAAACGGCGGCCGUAACUAUAACGGUCCUAAGGUAGCGAAAUUCCUUGUCGGGUAAGUUCCGACCUGCACGAAUGGCGUAAUGAUGGCCAGGCUGUCUCCACCCGAGACUCAGUGAAAUUGAACUCGCUGUGAAGAUGCAGUGUACCCGCGGCAAGACGGAAAGACCCCGUGAACCUUUACUAUAGCUUGACACUGAACAUUGAGCCUUGAUGUGUAGGAUAGGUGGGAGGCUUUGAAGUGUGGACGCCAGUCUGCAUGGAGCCGACCUUGAAAUACCACCCUUUAAUGUUUGAUGUUCUAACGUUGACCCGUAAUCCGGGUUGCGGACAGUGUCUGGUGGGUAGUUUGACUGGGGCGGUCUCCUCCUAAAGAGUAACGGAGGAGCACGAAGGUUGGCUAAUCCUGGUCGGACAUCAGGAGGUUAGUGCAAUGGCAUAAGCCAGCUUGACUGCGAGCGUGACGGCGCGAGCAGGUGCGAAAGCAGGUCAUAGUGAUCCGGUGGUUCUGAAUGGAAGGGCCAUCGCUCAACGGAUAAAAGGUACUCCGGGGAUAACAGGCUGAUACCGCCCAAGAGUUCAUAUCGACGGCGGUGUUUGGCACCUCGAUGUCGGCUCAUCACAUCCUGGGGCUGAAGUAGGUCCCAAGGGUAUGGCUGUUCGCCAUUUAAAGUGGUACGCGAGCUGGGUUUAGAACGUCGUGAGACAGUUCGGUCCCUAUCUGCCGUGGGCGCUGGAGAACUGAGGGGGGCUGCUCCUAGUACGAGAGGACCGGAGUGGACGCAUCACUGGUGUUCGGGUUGUCAUGCCAAUGGCACUGCCCGGUAGCUAAAUGCGGAAGAGAUAAGUGCUGAAAGCAUCUAAGCACGAAACUUGCCCCGAGAUGAGUUCUCCCUGACUCCUUGAGAGUCCUGAAGGAACGUUGAAGACGACGACGUUGAUAGGCCGGGUGUGUAAGCGCAGCGAUGCGUUGAGCUAACCGGUACUAAUGAACCGUGAGGCUUAACCUUACAACGCCGAAGCUGUU